rnacentral:rRNA from 1 species
GACGAACGCUGGCGGCGUGCUUAACACAUGCAAGUCGAACGGAAAGGCCCUGCUUUUGUGGGGUGCUCGAGUGGCGAACGGGUGAGUAACACGUGAGUAACCUGCCCUUGACUUUGGGAUAACUUCAGGAAACUGGGGCUAAUACCGGAUAGGAGCUCCUGCUGCAUGGUGGGGGUUGGAAAGUUUCGGCGGUUGGGGAUGGACUCGCGGCUUAUCAGCUUGUUGGUGGGGUAGUGGCUUACCAAGGCUUUGACGGGUAGCCGGCCUGAGAGGGUGACCGGCCACAUGGGGACUGAGAUACGGCCCAGACUCCUACGGGAGGCAGAAGUGGGGAAUAUUGCACAAUGGGCGGAAGCCGGAUGCAGCAACGCCGCGUGCGGGAUGACGGCCUUCGGGUGGUAAACCGCUUUCGCCGGUGACGAAGCGUGAGUGACGGUAAUGGGUAAAGAAGCACCGGCUAACUACGU